UCCCAGGAGGCUGCCUUCGCCAUCGGUGUUCCUCCGCAUAUCUACGCAUUUCACUGCUACACGCGGAAUUCCACCUCCCUCUGACACACUCUAGCCCGGUAGUUAAAAAUGCAGUUCCAAAGUUAAGCUCUGGGAUUUCACAUCUUUCUUUCCGAACCGCCUGCGCACGCUUUACGCCCAGUAAUUCCGAUUAACGCUUGCACCCUACGUAUUACCGCGGCUGCUGGCACGUAGUUAGCCGGUGCUUAUUCUGCAGGUACCGUCAGUUUCACGGGGUAUUAACCCAUGACGUUUCUUUCCUGCCAAAAGUGCUUUACAACCCGAAGGCCUUCAUCGCACACGCGGGAUGGCUGGAUCAGGGUUUCCCCCAUUGUCCAAAAUUCCCCACUGCUGCCUCCCGUAGGAGUCUGGGCCGUGUCUCAGUCCCAGUGUGGCUGGUCGUCCUCUCAAACCAGCUACGGAUCGUCGCCUUGGUGAGCCGUUACCCCACCAACUAGCUAAUCCGAUAUCGGCCGCUCCAAUAGUGCAAGGUCUUNCGAUCCCCUGCUUUCCCCCGUAGGGCGUAUGCGGUAUUAGCUACGCUUUCGCGUAGUUAUCCCCCGCUACUGGGCACGUUCCGAUACAUUACUCACCCGUUCGCCACUCGCCACCAGACCGAAGUCCGUGCUGCCGUUCGACUUGCAUGUGUAAGGCAUCCCGCUAGCGUUCAAUUCUGAGCCA
rnacentral:rRNA from 1 species